rnacentral:rRNA from 1 species
CGCUAGAGAUAGCUUAGUGCCUUCGGGAACUCUGAGACAGGUGCUGCAUGGCUGUCGUCAGCUCGUGUUGUGAAAUGUUGGGUUAAGUCCCGCAACGAGCGCAACCCUUAUCCUUGUUUGCCAGCACGUAAUGGUGGGAACUCCAGGGAGACUGCCGGUGAUAAACCGGAGGAAGGUGGGGACGACGUCAAGUCAUCAUGGCCCUUACGAGUAGGGCUACACACGUGCUACAAUGGCGUAUACAGAGGGCUGCAAGCUAGCGAUAGUGAGCGAAUCCCACAAAGUACGUCGUAGUCCGGAUUGGAGUCUGCAACUCGACUCCAUGAAGUCGGAAUCGCUAGUAAUCGUGAAUCAGAAUGUCACGGUGAAUACGUUCCCGGGCCUUGUACACACCGCCCGUCACACCAUGGGAGUGGGCUGCACCAGAAGUAGAUAGCUUAACCUUCGGGAGGGCGUUUACCACGGUGUGGUUCAUGACUGGGGUGAAGUCGUAACAAGGUAGCCCUAGGGGAACCUGGGGCUGGAUCACCUCCUUAC